rnacentral:rRNA from 1 species
UACGUAGGGGGCAAGCGUUGUCCGGAAUCAUUGGGCGUAAAGCGCGUGUAGGCGGCUUGGUAAGUCUGCUCUGAAAGCCCGGGGCUCAACCCCGGGAGGCGGGUGGAUACUGCUGAGCUCGAGUCCGGAAGAGGCAAGUGGAAUUCCUGGUGUAGCGGUGAAAUGCGCAGAUAUCAGGAGGAACACCGAUGGCGAAGGCAGCUUGCUGGGACGUGACUGACGCUGAGACG